rnacentral:lncRNA from 1 species
AAGCCUAAAACAUGGGUCCUAGUCAAGUUUGCUGUCCAGCUAUCCGAACUCUGCAAUAGUGCAAUAGCAAAGAACAUGCAGAGAUUUAGAUUUGCUUCCUUGUGUGAAAGAGAACCGUAUAGUAACUAAUAAUACACUGGGAAGAAAUCAGAGUAGAUCUUGCACACAAAAACAUUAAUAUCCACUGAUAAGAGAGGAGGAGAAGCGAAAACAUUAAUAUCCACUGAUAAGAG